rnacentral:tRNA from 1 species
GCCUGGGUGGCUCAGUCGGGUGAGCAUCUGACUUCAGCUCAGGUCGUGAUCUCACGGUUUGUGGGUUCAAGCCCCACAUCCAGCC